rnacentral:lncRNA from 1 species
GGUGAAAUACGUAAUUAUGAUGAUGAAUAUGAUUCACCAGAUGAGGAAGAAAAUCAUUCUCAUAAAAAGGAGAGUCACUAUAAAGCUAUUGAACACCCACAUGAUGGUAUUGAAAAGUUUGGAAAAGAUGAUGAAGAGGUAAUCAUCAAUGAUAGAACUCAUCAAGGUGACAUAAAUGAAGUUGAAAUCGUGAAACAGCUAACUGACCCUAAAGCCGCUUUAACUCAUGGUGUGAGAAGUCACCGUCAAAGUUUUGAUAAGUCUAACAUAGGUGCGCUUCAUGAGCCAAAAGAAUACGGUGUAAAAACA